AUUGAACGCUGGCGGCAGGCCUAACACAUGCAAGUCGAACGAGUGGCGGACGGGUGAGUAAUGUCUGGGAAAGUGCCCAAUGGAGGGGGGUAACUACUGGAAACGGUAGCUAAUACCGCAUACCAUCAGAUGUGCCCAGAUGGGAUUAGCUAGUUGGUGGGGUAACGGCUCACCAAGGCGACGAUCCCUAGCUGGUCUGAGAGGAUGACCAGCCACACUGGAACUGAGACACGGCCCAGACUCCUACGGGAGGCAGCAGUGGGGAAUUUUGGACAAUGGGGGAAAGCCUGAUCCAGCCAUGCCGCGUGUAUGAAGAAGGCCUUCGGGUUGUAAAGUACUUUCAGCGGGGAAGCGGUACCCGCAGAAGAAGCACCGGCUAACUCCGUGCCAGCAGCCGCGGUAAUAC
rnacentral:rRNA from 1 species